UGGGGAAUUUUGGACAAUGGGCGAAAGCCUGAUCCAGCAAUGCCGCGUGUGUGAAGAAGGCCUUCGGGUUGUAAAGCACUUUUGUCCGGAAAGAAAUCCUUGGCUCUAAUACAGUCGGGGGAUGACGGUACCGGAAGAAUAAGCACCGGCUAACUACGUGCCAGCAGCCGCGGUAAUACGUAGGGUGCAGGCGUUAAUCGGAAUUACUGGGCGUAAAGCGUGCGCAGGCGGUUUGCUAAGACCGAUGUGAAAUCCCCGGGCUCAACCUGGGAACUGCAUUGGUGACUGGCAGGCUAGAGUAUGGCAGAGGGGGUAGAAUUCCACGUGUAGCAGUGAAAUGCGUAGAGAUGUGGAGGAAUACCGAUGGCGAAGGCAGCCCCCUGGGCCAAUACUGACGCUCAUGCACGAAAGCGUGGGGAGCAAACAGGAUUAGAUACCCUGGUAGUCCAGCGCCCUAAACGAUGUCAACUAGUUGUUGGGGAUUCAUUUCCUUAGUAACGUAGCUAACGCGUGAAGUUGACCGCCUGGGGAGUACGGCCGCAAGGUUAAAACUCAAAUGAAUUGACGGGGU
rnacentral:rRNA from 1 species